rnacentral:rRNA from 1 species
GAGGAGCAGGCGCGCAAUUACCCAAUCCUGACUCAGGGAGGUAGUGACAAGAAAUAACAAUAAACCGGCUUAUGCCGGUUUAAUUGGAAUGAGUACAAUUUAAACAUCUUAACGAGGAACAAUUGGAGGGCAAGUCUGGUGCCAGCAGCCGCGGUAAUUCCAGCUCCAAUAGCGUAUACUAAAGUUGUUGCAGUUAAAAAGCUCGUAGUUGGAUUUCUGUGGGGACGGAGCGGCCGGCCGCACAUCGCGGUUCGAGCUAGCGCUUUCCCUACAUCCUGCCGCGAACCGUGCUACCAUUAGUUUGGUGGCGCCGGGGAUCGGCUCGAUUACUUUGAGAAAAAUAGAGUGUUCAAAGCAGGCCACAUGCCUUGAAUAAGUUAGCAUGGAAUAAUAACUAAGGACUUCGGUUCUAUUUUGUUGGUGUUCGGGACUGAAGUAAUGAUUGAUAGGGACAGUUGGGGCGGUCUGUAUUCCAAAGCGAGAGGUGAAAUUCUUAGACCUUCGGAAGACAAACAGCUGCGAAAGCGUUCCGCAAGGAUGUUCCCUUUGAUCAAGAACGAAGGUUGGGGGAUCGAAGACGAUCAGAUACCGUCGUAGUCUCAACUAUAAACUAUACCAGCUAGGGAUCGGCCAACGUUAUUUUAUACCGACUUGGUCGGCACCUUAUGAGAAAUCAAAGCAUCUGGGUUCCGGGGGGAGUAUGGUCGCAAGGCUGAAACUUAAAGGAAUUGACGGAAGGGCACCACCAGCCGUGGAGCCUGUGGCUUAAUUUGGCUCAACACGGGAAAACUUACCAGGUCCAGACAUAGUAAGGAUUGACAGAUUGAUAGCUCUUUCUUGAUUCUGUGGGUGGUGGUGCAUGGCCGUUCUUAGUUGGUGGAGUGAUUUGUCUGGUUAAUUCCGUUAACGAACGAGACCCCAGCCUGCUAAAUAGCGCGCGUGAGCUUUGCUCGCGGCGAGCUUCUUAGAGGGACCAUGAUGCGCGAUAGCACAUGGAAGUUUGGGGCAAUAACAGGUCUGUGAUGCCCUUAGAUGUUCUGGGCCGCACACGGGCUACACUGGCGCCUGCAACGAGCAUAUCAGCUGGCCCGAGAGGGUCUUGGCUAAUCUUUUGAACCGGCGCCGUGCUUGGGAUUGACCUUUGCAAUUGUUGGUCAUGCAACGAGGAAUGCCUUGUAAACGCGAGUCAUCAGCUCGCAUUGAAUACGACCCUGCCCUUUGUACACACCGCCCGUCGCUCCUACCGAUGAAUGUUCCGAUGAAAUUUUCGGAGAGCACCUGUGAACUUGGCUCUGCCUUGCGAACGGGAGGCUCAAAGUCAC